GAGAUAUAUAUAUAUAUAUAUAUAAUAGGGAGUGAUUUAAUGCUCAGUUAAAGUAGAGCUCUUAAAUACCUACUGUCAGGGUUGGGGAAACAGGAAGAGGAACAAGUGCAGUAAAUCAAGGGGAAGCAGGUAAGGGUCCAAACAAAAAGCUUUAUUCAAAAGCUGUUGAUGAAAACAGGAAGCAAGGGGAACACAGGACAUGAAAAACGCUUAGCUUCAGACUUGGCGACAGGAACACGCAGGGAUCAUGGAAGGGAUCAGGGAAGAAAUAACGACGACCAAACGAGAGACAAAAGGGGAACAGGGACUAAAUACACAUGGGUAAUCACAAGAGGAGAGACAGCUGGAAGGGGGAGGAGAAACACAGGGGCAACAGGAGAACACAAUGACGCAAUCAGGCACAGGAGGGAAACGCAGACAGGAAGUGAAGCUAAACAUGACACAAGAGGGGAAACAUUUCAAAAUAAAACACAACACAAGGACAGACAGGAAACAAGGAUCAUGACCCCUACACACUUUAACUUCAGUCAGGUUUUUAAUGCAGGGUGUUUCCUUGCUGCAUGUCUGUUUAUAUCUCACUGAAUGUAAUCCCGGUAUGAUCACAUUCCUCUGGUAAGGCUGGUUAUGAGACUAGAGGAGGAGCUGCAGACAGGUGAGGGAGUUAAAGGUAAGGUAUGAAGUCAGACCGUCAGACUCCAUUUCACACUUGGACAGAGAGGAGGAGGACAGGACUGGAGAAGAUGAGUCGUUUCAAAGCUGAGGAAGAGGACAGAUCUCCAGUCUCCAGCUGUCUGUCUCUGAAGAGUGACCGGUCUAAAGGAUAUCCUCCAAACUUCAGGAAUGAACCUGGACCCUCAGACACAGAACAGAGAGCAGAGGCUCCAGUCUCCAGCUGUCUGUCUCUGAAGAGUGACCGGUCUAAAGGAUUACCUCUGAACUUCAGUAAUGAACCUGGACCCUCAGACACAGA